rnacentral:rRNA from 1 species
AGUGAACGCUGGCGGUAGGCCUAGCACAUGCAAGUCGAACGGCAGCACAGUAAGAGCUUGCUCUUACGGGUGGCGAGUGGCGGACGGGUGAGGAAUACAUCGGAAUCUACUUUUUCGUGGGGGAUAACGUAGGGAAACUUACGCUAAUACCGCAUACGACCUACGGGUGAAAUCAGGGGAUCUUCGGACCUUGCGCGAUUGAAUGAGCCGAUGUCGGAUUAGCUAGUUGGCGGGGUAAAGGCCCACCAAGGCGACGAUCCGUAGCUGGUCUGAGAGGAUGAUCAGCCACACUGGAACUGAGACACGGUCCAGACUCCUACGGGAGGCAGCAGUGGGGAAUAUUGCGCAAUGGGCGAAAGCCUGACGCAGCAAUACCGCGUGAGUGAUGAAGGCCUUCGGGUUGUAAAGCCCUUUUAUUGGGAAAGAACAGCAGUAGGUUUAUCCCCCGACGUUCUGACGGUACCCAAAGAAUAAGCACCGGCUAACUUCGUG